UGGGCAAAUGAACAUAAGGUUUUUUUGUCGAACAUGAACAUAAAAAUACUCAUUAAAUGCAGUAUUAAGUUGCCACUUUAAAUGCUUAGUUCAGGAAAUGCCAAAUUUAAGAUAACUCUCAACAUCAGUAACUCAUUCAUCUGACAUUUAUAGUCUACCUAAAGGUACCUCAUAAGGGAUCUCCUGUCUCUUAUCAGAAUUGUGGGGAGUUCCCUUCGUGGCUCAGCAGUUAACGAACCUAAGAUCCAUGAGGAUGUGGGUUCAAUCCUUGGCCUCGCUCAGUGGAUUAGGGAUUCAGUGUUGCCGUGAGCGGUGGUAUAUGUCUCCAAUCCUUGGGUCUUUGACUGGGAAGCUAAGCUGGGAGGGAGUAUUACCAUUGGUACCCUGAAUGAGGGGUUUAACUUUGUUUAUUUUAGUUGGGCUAUAAGAGCAUUUACUUGUUACUUCUCUGCUACUGAAAAUAUCCUCAAGCAUUUUUUAUUGGGCUGUCUUGAAUUGGCAACAAUUGUUACCUCUUCAGGGUAGAAGAGAGGGGAGCCAACUGUUGAAUACUUACCAUAUGCUGGAAAAUUUAUAUUUGUUCUUGCAUGUAAUAUUCAUAACAAAACUAUAAAGUGGAUGGUGGUACCUCUUAUUUUAUUUUAUUUUUUGCUUAUUAAGGCCUCACCUGAGGCAUAUGGAAGUUCCCAGGCUACGGGUUGAAUCAGCUGCAGCUGCUGGCCUACACCACAGCCACAGCAAUGCCAGAUCUGAGUUGUGCUCUGCUAUCUACACCACAGCUCAUGGCAACACUGUGUCUGUAACCCACUGAGUGAGGCCAGGGAUCUCAAAACUGCAUCCUCAUGGAUACUAGUCAGGCUCCUUACCGCUGAGCCAGCCACAGUAGGAACUUCGGUACCUUUCUUGUGAAGGACAAGACAACGUGAGGUAUCCCAGGUCUCUUAUCAGAAUCACGCCUUGGAGUUCCCGUCGUGGCGCAGUGGUUAACGAAUCUGACUAGGAGCCAUGAGGUUGCGGGUUCGGUCCCUGCCCUUGCUCAGUGGGUUAACGAUCCGGCGUUGCCGUGAGCUGUGGUGUAGGUCGCAGACGCGGCUCGGAUCCCGCGUUGCUGUGGCUCUGGCGUAGGCCAGUGGCUACAGCUCCGAUUGGACCCCUAGCCUGGGAACCUCCAUAUGCCGCGGAAACGGCCCAAAGAAAUAGCG
rnacentral:lncRNA from 1 species